GGGAAAUGGAGUGUGUGCCAGUGGAGGAUGAGAUUUCUUUUUUUUUUUUCUUUCUUUUUUUUUUCCAUGUUUGAGACAGAGUCUUACUCUGUUGCCAAGCUAGAGUGCAGUGGCACGAUCUCAGCUCACUGCAACCUCCACUUCCCAGGUUCAAGCAAUUCUCCUGCCUCAGCCUCCGGAGGAACUGGGACUACAGGCACGCCACCACGUCCAGCUCAUUUUUGUGUUUUUAGUAGAGACAGGGCUUCACCAUGUCGGCCAGGAGGAGGAUGGACUUUCUUAUCUCAUCUUACCUUUCCUGCUGCAUGGACUUUAAUUUUUGCAUCUGGCAAGAGUUUCUGCAAAUUCCCUGUGGUAAAGAUGGCAGGCUGCCCUGGAGAUCUUCUCUUCCUUGUGGGUUGGCUGUGGCUCGGAAGUGGCGGCUUCCUGGAGGCUGUGUGUUCAUUCUCAACUUCCUUGCAUCUAGCUAGAGAGCCAGUUAGCUAGCAUGUCACUGCCUAUCACCCAACAAGGCUGAUGAAAUUACCAUUGAAAUAAUCCAUGUAAAAUGCUCAGUGGAGUGCAUGAUACAAGGUAAGUGUUAAUUCAGUGUUGUUGAUUAGUAACGUAGUAUUAUCCCUAUUAAUUAUGCCUUAGCUGUCAGUAAAUACCUGUUAAAUGGAACUGAACUGUGCCUGAAGUCAUUCUCUAUGACUUAUUUCAAUGAAUUAAAAAAAUGUUCAGAAGAUAGACUAAGUUUAUCUUCUAGGUCUCCAAACUGGUGGUUUUCUCCUUCCUCUUCACUUUCUCUACAUUUCCUCUCUGUGAACCUAAAAAGGCCCUUGUCCCCUAGUCUGGCUGGGCCAGUGUCUCUAGCCCCAGGAGUGUGUAAGAAUUAUGCAUUGCUGCUGUGCAUGGGGUGAAGCACGUAGGGUUAUGUUAAUUAGGUCUCUUCCAAGAGGACACAGUGAAGGUGGCCCCUCUGUUGUGACUGACACCACCACCACUUGACUUGCCCUUGCCCACUGACCAAAUCUUCCCCUGUUUCUCUGACAUCCAAAACUGCUAAAAGUUCCUAUUUUUAGUCUUUGAAUUACAGAGUUUCAGACACGUCUUUCAGUGCGUGUCUGUUACGUACUUGGAAAGGUAACAUACAUAUUAGAUCAUCAACAAAGUGCAAAUUAGGUUAUCAAGUUAACUCUUGUAAAGAUCCUUGCUUUAAAGAAAUUGACCCAGGAAGGAGGCCAGAUGAAGUCCGGAAACUGGAAUGUUACAGGAGAGGGCAGGCCUCAGGGGAAAGGUUAUAGACAUUGAGUAGGCAGCACUGGAAAACUCAAGUUAUUGGGAUGAAGGAGUGAAUUAAAGGUGUGGAGGGCAGAGCUGGUGCAUGAAUAAAGCCAAGAUAAAUAAAGACACAUAUGCAUCUACAAUUCUUGAUUUUAGGGAAGCGACCCUCUGAAUGUCCAGAUUAUACAAAGAAGUUGGAGUGAAGAGAGGUAAAAUGAUUUUAAGCCUCAUCAUAGCUUUGUCAGGCCAAGCCUAAAUCUUAAAGCAUAAAAAUGUAUGACUAAGAGUAAAUAUGUCUAAGUAAUUUAACCUCUGGUUUAUUAGGAAUCCUAAGUUAUGAAAAUGAAGACACUGCCUGGACUGAUACAAGACAAAUGCAUCCUAAUCCCAAUGUAUUAAUCAUCAUUUAAAGGCUUUGUCCCCUCUCUGGCUCUGUCCAGCCAAAGUCAGCAGGCAUUCCCUCCUAGGGAGGAACAGAUCAAUCCCUUAGGAUGUUGAUUUGUGCUGAAGAGCCCUACUGGUCUCCCAGCAAGUUAUUUCAAGGAGAAGCAGUGUGUGAGCCAGUCAGUUCCUUCUCAGUGUUGAGGGAUUUCCAGCUGAUCGCUCUGAUUGCUCUUAUAGAGAUAAUGUAGCAUCAUAAAAGGGGAGUUUCUGUAGCAGCUUACUUGCAAUCAAUGGCUGCCUGUGGUGUUCCAGCAUUCCCUGAUGUGAAUGCUAGUUUCAGUCUUCUGCACAGUUUAAGAGAGAAAGGGAAGGGAUGGCUAAGGGGGACAGUUGAAUUUCUGUCCAGACCUAGAUCUUCAAAAGUGCUGGCAUAGUAAGAGGGACCAACUGGAAAUAGCAGCCACCAAGACAUUCCCAAUACAUGGACAUGCAUUAGACACCCAGCCCUUGUUUUUUGUUUUUUGUUUUUGUUUUUUAAAUUCAAUCUCUCUAUUGAACGAUGUGCUCUUUCCUGUAUCUGUUUUUAUUCUUGCUCUCUCUUCAAUUCUCCUUUGGCUUUUAAAACUAUUGACUGAAAGCUUUUUUCCUUUCCUCAAGUCAAUUCACUUCAGAAAGUAUCUACCCCCAUGUACCCAGCAACACACUUCAUCCACACCACGAAGCAAACAGAAAGAGACCUAAAGCUUGGUCCAUGUGCUUCUGCCACUCAUGUCCGAGGCGAGUAUCCACUGCACAUUUUUUAAAGAAGUGAAAGAUUGAAUAGUUACAACAUCAUACAUGAUAUUAGGAAACAGAAUUUAUUGUGGAUAAAGAAGAAUCGAAGCAAAUGUUCUAGACCUUUUUGGGAAUGCUGCUAAUUAUAAAAUAAAAGAUAAUGCAAAGAAAAGAACAAAAUUUUAGUCAAAGAAAACUAGAGCAUUGAAAGCACAGGGUUUGGAAUAAAUAGCAUGUGGUAUUGGGGUGUUUGUGUGUGUGUUGUUUGUUCUUUCAUGCAACAAAUAUAUCUCGAGCUGCUACGUGUGCUGGCAUUGUUCUAGGGAGCUAGGAUGCAGCCUUGAAAGGAACAGUCAUUGGUCCCCUGCAGUUCAUUUUCUAGUAGGGCCAAUAAGUAAAUGAAUGAUUUUUUCAAAUAUUAGAGAUUAGUACAAGUAAGACAAUAAUACAGGAUAAAGUGACAGAAAGUGUCUGGGGUGGGGAGGAUGCUUGGAGUUAGGAUGACUAGGGAAGGCUUUUCUUAGUUGAUGGCAAUAAAGAGAAAACAAGACAUGUGGAGUGGAGGCAGAGCUUCACAGACAGAGGGACCAAGUCAAGGCUUCAAAAAGGAAACAUUUUGGCAGGCUAGAGGCAACCCUGAUUCUACAUUAGAAUUACCUGCAGAGUUUCUACAACUAUAUCCCUAAUUGGAUCCACUCCCAGAGAAAUUGAGUUAAUUGUUUUUGAGUGGUGCCCAGAGAUGAGUAUUUUAAACACCUCCUCAGGAGAUUCAGAUGUCAAGGGAAGCUGAGAACUGCUGGGGUGGAGCGCAGUGAUUCUCAAACUCAGGAAUCAAAAUCGUUAGGGAGGCUUAUCACAUCGAGAUAGCUUAGCCCCGUCCCUAGAGUUUCUGAUUCAGUAAGUCUGGGGUGGGACCCAAGGAUUUGUAGUUUCAACAAGUUUCCAGCUGGUGCUAAUGCUGGUCUGGGAACCUUACUUGAAAACCAGUGGGUUGGAGAACAGAAACAGGAGCCAGUAUUGAAAGAGGAUGUGAGUGAUGUGGAGGAAAAUAGAAGGAAGUUGGAACUUCUGUCCUGUAAGAGAGAAAAUACAGAGCACAGCUAAAAUCACAGAAAUGAUGAGGGCAGGGGCAAAACUGGAUCAUUCUGGACGACCAAGGGGAAGAUAUACAAAGCAAAGUCUGACACAUACGGCAGGACAGAGCAGAAACCAGAGGAACUGUUCUGGAUGAGCUGGGUAAGACAUGAAUGUGGAAAGGUGGACACACACACAGAAAAGACAAGCACAGAAAUGGCUGGGGAAAGAGGAACAACUGGAAGGACUAUUCUGGAAUCUGAGAGAAUGGCCAAAAGUAGAGUCAUCAGCACUUAUAGAUGGAGUUGCAGCAACAGAACUAGAUUUGAUCCUGUAGGGUGCGUUUAGGUAGGUAAGUGAAGCUAGAAGCAAAGGCAGACUGGAAAUGAGAGAAAAGUUGAGGAGGUGGAGGGAAAUCAGAUACAAGUCCUUGAAACUGCUAUGGGUCUGCUAACUCAUUCAGGGAGCAGGCUGGUAAUGGAAGUCAGUGAAGGGGGUCAGUUGUAAGCACCUGGAACAAGCAUGCUCGGUCUAAAUAGAUAGAAGAGACAGUUCCAGGUGAUUGUGGUCAUUCAGGAUUAAAAGUCUUACUGCCCUGCUAAAGGUGCCAACGUAUGCAGCUCUUGAAAAUGGGCUUCAAUUUGUCUUUAAGACUUCAUGCAUGCCAAAUCUGUGUAUACCAAAUCAGCUGGGUUUGUGGGCUAGUUUGCUACCUUUGGACUACUUAGUAUCUAUGAUCCUUUAUAUCUCUCAAUUUUCAUCAUUAGCGAGAUGUCACCCUGGUGUAUUGUCCAGCAUUUAAAAAAAUAGAGACGACAGUUGCCUAAAUAGAGAAAGUGAGUUGCCUUACGUAAGCAUAAUGGGAGUCAAGAAUAGUCACUAACAGGCCGCCUUGAUCAAAGCAUAGAACUAAGUCCAAAGAAGGUCCACUUUAUAUCACACUCGUGGGUCUGUUUUCAGUUUGGAGCAUGAACUAUAAAACAUAGCAAGCUUGACCACUUGUAUGUCUUUUCUUUGAAGAAGUGUCUGUUCAUGUCUUUUGUCCACUUUUUCAUGGAGUUGUUUAUUCUUGUCAAAUUCCUUACAGAUUCUGGAUAUUAGACCUUUGUCAGAUGUAUCAUUUGCAAAUAUUUUGUCCCAUCCUCUAGAAUGUUUAUUCUGUUGAUAGCUCCUUUUGCUGUGCAUAAGUUAUUUAAUUUAAUUAGGUUCCACUUGC
rnacentral:lncRNA from 10 species